GCUCAGUAACACGUGGAUAACCUACCCUUAGGACCGGGAUAACUCUGGGAAACUGGGGCUAAUACUGGAUAGAUGAUUUUUCUUGGAAUGGGAUUUUGUUUAAAUGUUUUUUCGCCUAAGGAUGGGUCUGCGGCAGAUUAGGUAGUUGGUUAGGUAAUGGCUUACCAAGCCUAUGAUCUGUACGGGUUGUGAGAGCAAGAGCCCGGAGAUGGAACCUGAGACAAGGUUCCAGGCCCUACGGGGCGCGGCAGGCGCGAAACCUCCACAAUGUACGAGAGUGCGAUGGGGGGAUCCCAAGUGCUAUUCUUAACGGGAUAGCUUUUCUUAAGUGUAAAAAGCUUUUGGAAUAAGAGCUGGGCAAGACCGGUGCCAGCCGCCGCGGUAACCC
rnacentral:rRNA from 1 species